rnacentral:misc_RNA from 1 species
GAUGAAGAACGCAGCGAACUGCGAUAAGUAAUGUGAAUUGCAGAAUUCAGUGAAUCAUCGAGUCUUUGAACGCACAUUGCGCCCCCUGGUAUUCCGGGGGGCAUGCCUGUCCGAGCGUCAUUGCUGCCCUCAAGCCCGGCUUGUGUGUUGGGCCUCCGUCCUCCUCCCGGGGGACGGGCCCGAAAGGCAGCGGCGGCACCGCGUCCGGUCCUCGAGCGUAUGGGGCUUCGUCACCCGCUCUUGUAGGCCCGGCCGGCGCUUGCCGACACAUCAAUCUUUUUUCCAGGUUGACCUCGGAUCAGGUAGGGAUACCCGCUGAACUUAAGCAUAUCAAUAAGCGGAGGA